GAUGAACGCUAGCUACAGGCUUAACACAUGCAAGUCGAGGGGUACCACGAGAAAAGCUUGCUUUUCUUGUUGACGACCGGCGCACGGGUGAGUAACGCGUAUCCAACCUGCCUAUAACUAGGGAAUAACCUUGCGAAAGUAAGCCUAAUCCCCUAUGAUUUCCUUUGAUGACAUCAGAUUAGGAAUAAUGAUUUAUCGUUUAUAGAUGGGGAUGCGUCUGAUUAGCUUGUUGGCGGGGUAACGGCCCACCAAGGUAACGAUCAGUAGGGGUUUUUAGAGGAAGGUCCCCCACAUGGGAACUGAGACACGGUCCAAACUGAUACGGGAGGCAGCAGUGAGGAAUAUUGGUCAAUGGGCGGAAGCCUGAACCAGCCAAGUAGCGUGCGGGAUGACGGCCCUAUGGGUUGUAAACUGCUUUUAUACAGGAAUAAAGUUAGCCACGUGUGGUUAUUUGUAGGUACUGUAUGAAUAAGGACCGGCUAAUUCCGUGCCAGCAGCCGCCGUAA
rnacentral:rRNA from 1 species